rnacentral:rRNA from 1 species
GACGAACGCUGGCGGCGUGCCUAAUACAUGCAAGUAGAACGCUGAAGGAGGAGCUUGCUUCUCCGGAUGAGUUGCGAACGGGUGAGUAACGCGUAGGUAACCUGCCUGGUAGCGGGGGAUAACUAUUGGAAACGAUAGCUAAUACCGCAUAAUAGUAGAUGUUGCAUGACAUUUGCUUAAAAGGUGCAAUUGCACCACUACCAGAUGGACCUGCGUUGUAUUAGCUAGUUGGUGGGGUAACGGCUCACCAAGGCGACGAUACAUAGCCGACCUGAGAGGGUGAUCGGCCACACUGGGACUGAGACACGGCCCAGACUCCUACGGGAGGCAGCAGUAGGGAAUCUUCGGCAAUGGACGGAAGUCUGACCGAGCAACGCCGCGUGAGUGAAGAAGGUUUUCGGAUCGUAAAGCUCUGUUGUAAGAGAAGAAACGAGUGUGAGAGUGGAAAG